AAGUACCAUUAACUCAGAAAAACCCUCUGUCUUCCUCCUUUUCCCCUCUUCUCAGCUUUUCUUGAUUACACCUUUUUGGAUUUGGUAUUUUCUUUAAUUGUGAUGGAGGAAAUAAUCUCCAUUCUUACAAUCCAUUCAUAAAAAAAUAAAUACCAUGGAAGUUUCUGCUAAGCAAGUGUUGAUUAUUAAUGGAUCUAUAGAUCUAACACUUUUAGAACCCAUAUAUAUUACUACGUUUUAUUUAAAUUUGCAUUAUUUUUACACUGUGUGGUUCAGUAGUUGACUGAAAAAUAUAACAUAUACGGCUUAAUCGCAACGAAACAAGGGAGGGGUUGACAAUAAGCAAAGGUAAAAUGAGAGAUGUUAUCAAGGUUGAUAAAUUUUCUAAAGCCAUGUUUUCGGCCAUCACCAGACCGUUAUGUAAAUACUGGUACAGAUUCAGCUGGACGGUAAGGACUUCUUUGGUAUAAGGACAAUGGAAAACGCUUACUACGUUGUUCAGGCCAAUAAUUUAUUGGAGGAUCAAAGGCAGAUUGAGUCGAGUUCACUAAACUUUCUUGAUUUUGGCACCUACGGAAUAUUUAUUGGGGUAUAUGAUGGACAUGAUUGGCCUGAAACAUCUACGAUAAACUCAUGAAAGCUACGAAAAUAUUUUUUCACAUUCAUCGGACAUGAUCAACAUAUGACUCGAUAUCACCUAUCUAGCAUCUUCAUUAAAUUUGUGCUGGCAGCUAUGAGGAACUCACCAGACUCCACUAGCAUGACAAGCUUGAAGGACCAAUUGGAUCCCAAUUUGAUGGAUUUUGUACCCUUCUGAGAAUUGCUCAUAUAAUGUGGUUAGAUAUGUUGUUGCGUUAGUAUUAGAGUGUGAUCCAUCAUCGAAGAAUUAUAAUUGUGAGUCUGUUGAAUUGACCUUUGUAAUGAGGAAAGAAAUUGUUGAACAAAUUAAAUGAUCUAGAAAAGAAUUUUGAAAAUUAUGUCCAUUAGAGUCAGCAUAUAAUAAACCCUUGUAGUCCUUGUGCAUAUC